GGACGGGUGAGUAAUGCCUGGGAAAUUGCCCUGAUGUGGGGGAUAACCAUUGGAAACGAUGGCUAAUACCGCAUAAUAGCUUCGGCUCAAAGAGGGGGACCUUCGGGCCUCUCGCGUCAGGAUAUGCCCAGGUGGGAUUAGCUAGUUGGUGAGGUAAUGGCUCACCAAGGCGACGAUCCCUAGCUGGUCUGAGAGGAUGAUCAGCCACACUGGAACUGAGACACGGUCCAGACUCCUACGGGAGGCAGCAGUGGGGAAUAUUGCACAAUGGGCGCAAGCCUGAUGCAGCCAUGCCGCGUGUAUGAAGAAGGCCUUCGGGUUGUAAAGUACUUUCAGCAGUGAGGAAGGUGUUGUCGUUAAUAGCGGCAUCAUUUGACGUUAGCUGCAGAAGAAGCACCGGCUAACUCCGUGCCAGCAGCCGCGGUAAUACGGAGGGUGCGAGCGUUAAUCGGAAUUACUGGGCGUAAAGCGCAUGCAGGUGGUUUGUUAAGUCAGAUGUG
rnacentral:rRNA from 1 species